rnacentral:rRNA from 1 species
AGCGGCGGACGGGUGAGUAACGCGUGGGUAACCUGCCCUGUACACACGGAUAACAUACCGAAAGGUAUGCUAAUACGAGAUAAUAUACUUUUAUCGCAUGGUAGAAGUAUCAAAGCUUUUGCGGUACAGGAUGGACCCGCGUCUGAUUAGCUAGUUGGUAAGGUAACGGCUUACCAAGGCGACGAUUAGUAGCCGACCUGAGAGGGUGAUCGGCCACAUUGGAACUGAGACACGGUCCAAACUCCUACGGGAGGCAGCAGUGGGGAAUAUUGCACAAUGGGCGAAAGCCUGAUGCAGCAACGCCGCGUGAGCGAUGUAGGCCUUCGGGUCGUAAAGCUCUGUCCUCAAGGAAGAUAAUGACGGUACUUGAGGAGGAAGCCCCGGUUAACCACGUGCCAGCAGCCGCGGUAAUACGUAGGGGGCUAGCGUUAUCCGGAAUUACUGGGCGUAAAGGGUGCGUAGGUGGUUUCUUAAGUCAGAGGUGAAAGGCUACGGCUCAACCGUAGUAAGCCUUUGAAACUGGGAAACUUGAGUGCAGGAGAGGAGAGUGGAAUUCCUAGUGUAGCGGUGAAAUGCGUAGAUAUUAGGAGGAACACCAGUUGCGAAGGCGGCUCUCUGGACUGUAACUGACACUGAGGCACGAAAGCGUGGGGAGCAAACAGGAUUAGAUACCCUGGUAGUCCACGCCGUAAACGAUGAGUACUAGCUGC